UAUCUUUUUCAUUUUCAAUUUUUUACUCCCUACUUACUCUUUUUCAUGUUCUAUUUUCUUCCCUUUUUUUUCCGAUCUGACCAAACCAAAAAGCAACAACUCUUUUUAUUUUAGUUUGUGAUCUCUAGGAUAAAAACAACCCUACACAAGAGAAGCUUACAUUGGAAAACAUGAUUAUAUUAGAUCUACAAUCAUAUAUAGAUAUGAAAUUUGUGGAUAUGAUAUUUGUUAAGAUUCAAAAAAAAGUUGAAGGAGUGGGUACAUAAAUAACAUGCUAUAUAUAUUAUUCACUUUAUGAAAAUAUGUCACUCAAACAUCUGGUAUAAUAGAAGUGUUGAAAUCUAGAUCCAUAACUUAGUUAUAUUUUGAUUUUAGAUCCAUAAAUUAGUUGUAUUUUGAUUUUUAAUAGUGAGGUAUUAAUUAUAUGUUUUGUUUUUGUAGUGAUUUUGAUUCUUUUAUAUAAAUGUCUUUUAAUGUCGUUGAUUAUAGUAAUAAA